GCUAAGGUCCCCAAGUCCGUGCUAAGUUGAACAAAGGUGGUCCAGUUGCUUAGACAGCCAGGAGGUUAGCUUGGAAGCAGCUAUUCAUUUAAAGAGUGCGUAACAGCUCACUGGUCGAGCGACAGGGCAUCGAUGAUGAUCGGGCAUUAAGUAUAGUACCGAAGCUAAGGAUUUCAGUUUACUGAAAUGGUAGGGGAGCAUUCUAUUCCGCGAUGAAGCAGUCUGGUAAUGGAUUGUGGAGCGUAUAGAAAAGCAAAUGUAGGAAUAAGUAACGAUAAAGCAGGCGAGAAACCUGCUCACCAAUAGACUAAGGUUUCCUUGGCGACGCUAAUCGUCCAAGGGUUAGUCGGGACCUAACGCGAACCCGAGAGGGGUAGUGGAUGG
rnacentral:rRNA from 1 species